UAGGGAAUAUUGCACAAUGGGCGAAAGCCUGAUGCAGCAACGCCGCGUGCGCGAAGAAGGCCUUCGGGUUGUAAAGCGCUUUUCUGGGAGAUGAGGAAGGACAGUAUCCCAGGAAUAAGGCUCGGCUAACUACGUGCCAGCAGCCGCGGUAAAACGUAGGAGCCAAGCGUUAUCCGAAUUCACUGGGCGUAAAGCGCGUGCAGGCGGCCUGAUAAGUUGGAUGUGAAAUCUCCUGGCUCAACUGGGAGAGGCCGUUCAAUACUGUUGGGCUAGAGGGCGACAGAGGGAGGUGGAAUUCCGGGUGUAGUGGUGAAAUGCGUAGAUAUCCGGAGGAACACCAGAGGCGAAGGCGACCUCCUGGGUCGCACCUGACGCUCAGACGCGAAAGCUAGGGGAGCGA
rnacentral:rRNA from 1 species